CAGGACGAACGCUGGCGGCGUGCCUUACACAUGCAAGUCGUGCGAGAACGGUUCCUUCGGGAACCUAGUAGAGCGGCGAACGGGUGAGUAAUACGUGAGCGACCUACCCGAGGGUGGGGGAUACCCCAGGGAAACCUGGACCAAUACCGCGUACAGCGCCGGGAGUGGAUGCCCGGCGUGAAAGCCGGCCUCUUCUAUGCUGGCGCCUUCGGAUGGGCUCGCGGCCUAUCAGCUUGUUGGUGGGGUAACGGCCUACCAAGGCUAUGACGGGUAGCUGACGUGAGAGCGUGAUCAGCCACAUUGGGACUGAGACACGGCCCAGACUCCUACGGGAGGCAGCAGUGGGGAAUAUUGCGCAAUGGGCGAAAGCCUGACGCAGCGACGCCGCGUGGGGGGAGGAAGGCCCUAGGGUCGUAAACCCCUGUCAGGUGGGACGAACACCCUGUCGGAUAAUACCCGGCGGGACUGACGGUACCACCAGAGGAAGCUCCGGCUAACUCCGUGCCAGCAGCCGCGGUAAUACGGAGGGAGCGAGCGUUGUUCGGAAUUACUGGGCGUAAAGGGCGCGUAGGCGGCCUCGUAAGUCGGGUGUGAAAGGCCGGGGCUCAACCCCGUGCACUGCACCCGAUACUGCCUGG
rnacentral:rRNA from 1 species